AGAGUUUGAUUAUGGCUCAGGAUGAACGCUAGCGGCAGGCUUAACACAUGCAAGUCGAGGGGCAUCGGGAGUAGCAAUACUUGCCGGCGACCGGCGCAAGGGUGCGUAACGCGUGAGCAACAUGCCCGUAUCAGGGGGAUAAUCCAUGGAAACGUGGUCUAAUACCCCAUAGUAAUUAUGUAAGGCAUCUUAUAUAAUUUAAAGCUUUGGUGGAUACGGAUUGGCUCGCGUGACAUUAGCUGGAUGGUAAGGUAACGGCUUACCAUGGCUACGAUGUCUAGGGGUUCUGAGAGGAAGGUCCCCCACAUUGGAACUGAGACACGGUCCAAACUCCUACGGGAGGCAGCAGUGAGGAAUAUUGGUCAAUGGACGAGAGUCUGAACCAGCCAAAGUAGCGUGAAGGAUGACUGCCCUAUGGGUUGUAAACUUCUUUUAUAAGGGAAUAAAGUGAGGGACGUGUCCCUUUUUGUAUGUACCUUAUGAAUAAGGAUCGGCUAACUCCGUGCCAGCCGCCGC
rnacentral:rRNA from 1 species